UACAGAGGUGGCAAGCGUUGUUCGGAAUUACUGGGCGUAAAGGGCGCGUAGGCGGCCUUCUAAGUCAGACGUGAAAUCCCCCGGCUUAACCUGGGAACUGCGUCUGAUACUGGGAGGCUUGAGUAUGGGAGAGGGAUGUAGAAUUCCAGGUGUAGCGGUGAAAUGCGUAGAUAUCUGGAGGAAUACCGGUGGCGAAGGCGGCAUCCUGGACGGUAACUGACGCUGAGACGCGAAAGCGUGGGGAGCAAACAGG
rnacentral:rRNA from 1 species